GGUUGAAGGCAUUGUUAUGAUUUGGGGAGUUUGGUCAGUACAGAUGGUUCCCUACACAGUGAUUGCUCUUGGGAUGGAUCUUUUGGUCAUUAUGUUAUUUAAUAAGGGGCCCCAGAUUUUCAGUGGUCAUCCAAGAAAAUGCCUAUGAUACUUGGAAACUGAUCUUCAUGCAACUAAGGCUUAUAGAGUCCUGUGCUGGAAUUAGGUUGCACAUAAAACAUCUCCAACCUCCUGUACCCUGGUAUAUAACUCUUCAGUUGCACUCUGGAUAUGGUACAGAUACCCACCUUACCUACAUUCCUUAUCUACCAGCCCCAGAUUCCACCAGCUGCUCCCAGUAUAUUACAGACAAAUUACAUCCACACAGGAAUGGGCA